UACGAGGGGGGCAAGCGUUGUUCGGAAUUAUUGGGCGUAAAGGGCGCGUAGGCGGUGCGGUAAGUCUGAUGUGAAAUCUCCGGGCUCAACUCGGAGUCUGCAUCAGAAACUGCCGUGCUCGAGUGUGGGAGAGGUGAGUGGAAUUCCCGGUGUAGCGGUGAAAUGCGUAGAUAUCGGGGGGAACACCAAUGGCGAAGGCAGCUCGCUGGGACGGUACUGACGCUGAGACGCGAAAGCGUGGGGAGCAAACAGG
rnacentral:rRNA from 1 species